ensembl:lncRNA
CUUAUAAUAGCCUACAGCAAAUUCAAAAUUGGUUUAGAUCAAUGGUCAUACCAUGGUUGGCUGAGAAGGGUUACCACAUGUAUGGCUUCCCCAAGGACCAAGAGCGCAGGAAGAAAUGGAUGGCAAUGGUCAGCCGUCAAAACGUACAAGUGCCAAGGGUACACUUUGAAGAUGACCAAUUCACUGACACAAAAAGAAGGGAUGUUGAAGCUGAGGCCCGAUGCAGUCCCAACAGUUUUCAUUCAAAGCCGAAGAGGAAACCCCCUUCUGUGAGGGUGCCUCCAGAACCAAGUGCAACGGACCACACAUGGCACCAAAUUAAACUUCGAGAUUGAGGGAGAAAUUGAGGUGGAUUUCAAGAGCGAUGAAAAGGACAUGACAGGAGACAGAGAGCAAUCAAGAGGCCACUUUGCCAGGGGCAGGUGAUCCAGGGACCAGACUGCCAGACCGCCCAUCAUAAUCAGCAUUGUUGAAGCGGCGGCAUCUGUAGGGCUUCAUGUGCUGAACAUCACCCUUUCCAGGAUAUAAUUAAACAAACACACUGUUAUUUCUACUAGCUAUCGCAUCAUCAAACCCGUC